rnacentral:sRNA from 1 species
AAUAGUUUAUAUUUUUUUAAGGCAAUUAAUUGUAUAACAAACCAAAAAUAUUCGAAAUAUAUGACAAUCCCAUAUGUCACGCAAAACACGAUAAAUUAUCUUCUCCUUAUCUCACCUACAAUAUUCACUAAAUCUUAAAACAACCAAAAUUUGAACUAUUUGAAUUAUUUCUAUUAAAUUUCGGCAAUCAAUUAAAAUGAAACAAACCAAAAUACAUUUACAAUCCCAUAAAAUGAGCAAAUCCAAUUAUAUGUGCACCUAAAAACAUUCCUUAUCUUGGUUUGAAUAUUCCAUGAAAUUAAAAGUCCAUAACUUUUUCGGCAUAAAAUCACAAUCACAACUAAUUCAACAACUAAUAUUUAAACUUAUAAAAAAAU